rnacentral:rRNA from 1 species
UACGUAGGGGGCAAGCGUUGUCCGGAAUCAUUGGGCGUAAAGCGCGUGUAGGCGGCUCGAUAAGUCUGCUGUGAAAGUCCAGGGCUCAACCCUGGGACGCCGGUGGAUACUGUCGGGCUCGAGUCCGGAAGAGGCGAGUGGAAUUCCUGGUGUAGCGGUGAAAUGCGCAGAUAUCAGGAGGAACACCAAUGGCGAAGGCAGCUCGCUGGGACGUGACUGACGCUGAGACGCGAAAGCGUGGGGAGCAAACAGG